GGAUUAAUUUAUUGGUCGUGCUAUUGUACGUACUGGUAUUAUUGAUUCCUACCUUCUGACGAACCACGAUGUCAUUAAUUUGGUGUCUUGGGGAAUCAGGACUGUUACUUUGAAAAAAUUUGAGUGUUUAAAGCAGGCUCACGCUUGAAAACAUUAGCAUGGAAUAAUGAAAUAGGACGUUUGAUCCUAUUUUGUUGGUUUCUAGGAUUGACGUA
rnacentral:rRNA from 1 species